CCGCGGUAAUACGAAGGGUGCAAGCGUUACUCGGAAUUACUGGGCGUAAAGCGUGCGUAGGUGGUCGUUUAAGUCCGUUGUGAAAGCCCUGGGCUCAACCUGGGAACUGCAGUGGAUACUGGGCGACUAGAGUGUGGUAGAGGGUAGCGGAAUUCCUGGUGUAGCAGUGAAAUGCGUAGAGAUCAGGAGGAACAUCCAUGGCGAAGGCAGCUGCCUGGACCAACACUGACACUGAGGCACGAAAGCGUGGGGAGCAAACAGGAUUAGAUACCCUGGUAGUCCACGCCCUAAACGAUGCGAACUGGAUGUUGGGUGCAAUUUGGCACGCAGUAUCGAAGCUAACGCGUUAAGUUCGCCGCCUGGGGAGUACGGUCGCAAGACUGAAACUCAAAGGAAUUGACGGGGGCCCGCACAAGCGGUGGAGUAUGUGGUUUAAUUCGAUGCAACGCGAAGAACCUUACCUGGCCUUGACAUGUCGAGAACUUUCCAGAGAUGGAUUGGUGCCUUCGGGAACUCGAACACAGGUGCUGCAUGGCUGUCGUCAGCUCGUGUCGUGGGAUGUUGGGUUAAGUCCCGCAACGAGCGCAACCCUUGUCCUUAGUUGCCAGCACGUAAUGGUGGGAACUCUAAGGAGACCG
rnacentral:rRNA from 1 species